rnacentral:rRNA from 1 species
AUUGAACGCUGGCGGCAGGCCUAACACAUGCAAGUCGAACGAGUGGCGGACGGGUGAGUAAUGUCUGGGAAACUGCCAGAUGGAGGGGGAUAACUACUGGAAACGGUGGCUAAUACCGCAUACCAUCGGAUGUACCCAUAUGGGAUUAGCUAGUAGGUGGGGUAAAGGCUCACCUAGGCGACGAUCCCUAGCUGGGCUGAGAGGAUGACCAGCCACACUGGAACUGAGACACGGCCCAGACUCGUACGGGAGGCAGCAGUGGGGAAUAUUGCACAAUGGGCGCAAGCCUGAUGCAGCCAUGCCGCGUGUAUGAAGAAGGCCUUCGGGUUGUAAAGUACUUUCAGCGAGGAGGAGUUACGCGCAGAAGAAGCACCGGCUAACUCCGUGCCAGCAGCCGCGGUAAUUC